rnacentral:rRNA from 1 species
UUGGAGGGCAAGUCUGGUGCCAGCAGCCGCGGUAAUUCCAGCUCCAAUAGCGUAUAUUAAUGUUGUUGCAGUUAAAAAGCUCGUAGUUGAAUUUCGGGAUCAGUUUGUUGGUCGUGCUUCGGUACGUACUGUCAUUACUGGUUUCUCCCUUCUGAAGAACCUUGAUGUCAUUAAUUUGGUGUCUUGGGGAAUCAGGACUGUUACUUUGAAAAAAUUAGAGUGUUUAAAGCAGGCAUACGCUUGAAUACAUUAGCAUGGAAUAAUGAAAUAGGACGUUUGAUUCUAUUUUGUUGGUUUCUAGGAUCGACGUAAUGAUUAAUAGGGAUAGUUGGGGGCAUUAGUAUUCAAUUGUCAGAGGUGAAAUUCUUGGAUUUAUUGAAGACUAACUACUGCGAAAGCAUUUGCCAAGGAUGUUUUCAUUAAUCAAGAACGAAAGUUAGGGGAUCGAAGACGAUCAGAUACCGUCGUAGUCUUAACCAUAAACUAUGCCGACUAGGGAUCGGAUGAUGUUAAUUUUUUAAUGACUCAUUCGGCGCCUUACGGGAAAC